ensembl:antisense Gm42956 predicted gene 42956
UGGGAGCCUUGUGUGUGGCCCUGUGCUGCUGACUCACCAGGCUGAGGAGAGCGAAAACAUGCUAGGGAUGAAGAAGGGGCCUGUUUAUGCCCUGCCACCACCUCCAAACCGCCCUGCCACCCCAGAUUGCUUUGGUCAGGGGCUUCCUGAGGACACCAGCUGCCCCGAGGAGACCGACCCAGAGGUUUCCGAAGUGUCUCUCAUUUGAUUCCAUUAAAAGCAACCAGAAUCAGAAGUUCCCAUGGCCGAUGCUUGAGGGUGGAUUUGAAUGGAGACGUGACUUCACUACUCAAGAAGUGAUGCAGGAAACGGAGAAUGACUUAAGUUUUCAAAAGCACAAGAAAAUCAGCACCCCAACUGCUAAGUGUU